rnacentral:rRNA from 1 species
UCGCCUGUUUAUCAAAAACAUAGCCUUAGGUAGAGAUCUAAGGUAAGUCCUGCCCGGUGAUAAUUUAACGGCCGCAGUACCCUGACUGUGCUAAGGUAGCGUAAUCAGUUGACUUUUAAAUGGAGUCGAGAAUGAAUGGGUUAUUGGGGGUUAGCUGUCUCAACUUUAUUUAUUUGAAUUUGUUUUUAGGGUGAAAAUACCCUAGGAAAGAAAAAAGACGAGAAGACCCUUAGAGUCUUAAUAAAUAAGUUUCUAGUUACUAAUUAUUUUUGUUGGGGCGACAACGAGGCAUAAGAUAAACCCUCGGAAUUUUUUUCUUACAGGACGACUAUAGUAAGGAAGACAAGACUACCUUAGGGAUAACAGCAUAAUCUUUAUUAAGUUUGUGACCUCGAUGUUGGACUAGGAACCUUAUGACUAGCCGUCACAGGGGUAAGUUCUGUUCGAACUUUUUCUCCUACGUGAUCUGAGUUCAGACCGGNNNA